rnacentral:rRNA from 1 species
AACGAACGCUGGCGGCAGGCUUAACACAUGCAAGUCGAGCGCCCCGCAAGGGGAGCGGCAGACGGGUGAGUAACGCGUGGGUAUCUACCCAUCUCUACGGAAUAACGCAUGGAAACGUGUGCUAAUACCGUAUACGUCCUUCGGGAGAAAGAUUUAUCGGAGAUGGAUGAGCCCGCGUUGGAUUAGCUAGUUGGUGGGGUAAAGGCCUACCAAGGCGACGAUCCAUAGCUGGUCUGAGAGGAUGAUCAGCCACACUGGGACUGAGACACGGCCCAGACACCUACGGGAGGCAGCAGUGGGGAAUAUUGGACAAUGGGCGCAAGCCUGAUCCAGCCAUGCCGCGUGAGUGAUGAAGGCCCUAGGGUUGUAAAGCUCUUUCACCGGUGAAGAUAAUGACGGUAACCGGAGAAGUAGCCCCGGCUAACUUCGUGCCAGCCGCCGCAGUAAUAC